GCCCCUAUAAGGUGGCGGGGGGAAGCCCGGCGAACCAGUUUUGGCUGGGUCUCACCAAGACCUAGAGAAGGAGGCGCGCAUGCGUGGACCUUAACCUCUUCUCUGCCCAGUUUGAGGGGCAGAUAGCGCCCUCUGUCUUCCCGGGAGAUCAACAAGAGAAAGAAAGAGGCAAACGGAAAUUCCUGAAUGGAGAGACAGAUGCUACGUCAUCAGAGCUGCAUCCUCCCCUCCGCUGGAGGCUAGGAGCCCAGGGGAGACGCAGUCCAGCCACGGGGGCCACCGAGCAGUCUGCCCUCACAGGAGCCUGGUGCUGGGCAUCCAAGAAGCCUGUUUGUUUCUGGCGUCAUCGUGCCCCAACCAGGGAUCAAACCUGAAACUUGGGCAGGUGCCCUGACCGGGAAUCGAACCUGCAACCCUUUGAUGCACGGGACAAUGCUCCAAUCAACUGAGCCACACCAGCCAGGGCAAGGAGGAAAUUCUAGGAUCUUGCUUAUUUCUAUCUUGGGAAGUCCUUCCCAAUGUCUAACCAAGAUCCGUGCUGCUGACACACCAGUUCUUUGACCCUGGGCUUGACAUGACGGAUGUGAAAGGUUUUGAAGCCCUUGGAGAAGUGAGCUGUGGGGCCUCCUAAGCUGCUGGCUUCCAACCCCAGACGGGGCGGGAAAGGAAUGACUUCCCCACAGCGGUGCAUCCAACUCCUGGCUUCUGCGCAGACCCUCAUUGGGCCCUUUCCUGGGCACAGCUCCCACACCCCAGGAGGGAAGGAACUGGCCUUGGUCAGGUGCCUACUUGCCUGUACCAAAGAGAAGAACCUGCUUCACCAGUUGGCCUGGGUUUCCUCUAAGAAGCCUUCCUGGAUUGACUGAAAGAUGAGGCUAAAUUCUCCUAAGUUGACUGCCUCCUCCAAGAAGUCUUUGAGGGGGAUGGAAGUGGGGAGGCACAGCCCACCACCCCUGGAGCCCCUGGGACAAGACUUGGCUUCACCCUUGCUCCCGUUCCAUCCCAUCCUGGUUCCUCCUGUGCCGUCUGAGCUGAGAUUCCUCUGAGAUGGAAGUCCCAUCUCCUGCCUAAUAAAGACUCUUGACUACUGAA